CAUUCCACGUGGUCCGUGACGAAGUUAACACAUUAAGCACCCCGCCUGGGGAGUACGGUCGCAAGACUAAAACUCAAAGGAAUUGACGGGGGCCCGCACAAGCGGCGGAGCAUGCGGAUUAAUUCGAUGCAACGCGAAGAACCUUACCAAGGCUUGACAUAUAGAGGAAACGUGCAGAUAUGUACGCCCCGCAAGGUCUCUAUACAGGUGGUGCAUGGUUGUCGUCAGCUCGUGUCGUGAGAUGUUGGGUUAAGUCCCGCAACGAGCGCAACCCUCGCCAUAUGUUGCCAGCACGUAAUGGUGGGAACUCAUGGGAGACUGCCGGGUUCAACUCGGAGGAAGGUGGGGAUGACGUCAAAUCAUCAUGCCCAUUAUGUCUUGGGCUUCACGCAUGCUACAAUGGCCAGUACAAAGGGCUGCAAUACCGUAAGGUGGAGCGAAUCCCAAAAAGCUGUUCUCAGUUCGGAUUGAGGUCUGCAACUCGACCUCAUGAAGUCGGAGUCGCUAGUAAUCGCAGAUCAGCAACGCUGCGGUGAAUACGUUCCCGGGCAUUGUACACACCGCCCGUCAAGUCACGAAAGUC
rnacentral:rRNA from 1 species